rnacentral:tRNA from 1 species
UAGCUCAGUUGGUAGAGCAGUUGACUUUUAAUCAAUUGGUCGAUGGUUCAAAUCC